GAUGAAGAACGCAGUGAAAUGCGAUACGUAAUGUGAAUUGCAGAAUUCAGUGAAUCAUCGAAUCUUUGAACGCAUAUUGCGCUCUCUGGUAUUCCGGAGAGCAUGCUUGUUUGAGUAUCAGUAAACACCUCAACUCCCCUUUCUUUUUUGAAAUGGGAGCUGGACUUGAGUGAUCCCAACGCUUUUCUCACCGAAAAGUGGCGGGUUACUUGAAAUGCAGGUGCAGCUGGACUUUUCUCUGAGCUAAAAGCAUAUCUAUUUAGUCUGCCUAAAAACAGAUUAUUACCUUUGCUGCAGCUAACAUAAAGGAGAUUAGUUCUUGUGCUGACUGAUGCAGGAUUCACAAAGACGGCUUCGGCCGACUUUGUAAACUCGAUCUCAAAUCAAGUAAGACUACCCGCUGAACUUAAGCAUAUCAAUAAGCGGAGGA
rnacentral:misc_RNA from 1 species